UUAUCUAAAUGUCCAGUGAUUCCAUGGAGUAACCACUAGCCAGAGGCUUCCCCAGCACCAGGGUGCUGUAGCAGAAAGAACACUGGAGUCCAAACCCCUUGAGUUUUGAGUUCUGGCCCUGGAACUUCAUGGCUCCGAAAACUUGCAGAAGUCCUCUAUUAUCCCCUUUUCUGACCAGGCCGUCUACAUUGAUUUUCACUGAUGCUGCUCAUCUUCUGAGACUUCGCAAUAUCCUCCAUCUGGACCUCAACUUGGAGUUGCCUAUUGCCUACUCAGUUACCACUGUGAUUCCUUUGAACAGAGACCUCUACUGAGAGCUCCUCUGCUGUGACUUUCUGGCAAGAUCUAAACCCCUUCAAGUACUCAAGUACUCAAUACUGGACCAACUAGAGCCAGAGAAUUGAUGAUGGUCACCCUUACUGGCCUGUGACUGUGACCUGGAUUUAGUCACCUACAGAUGACUUGUGUCUCAAUUCCCUGCUGUAUCCCCAUUGCCCAGCCCCUUCAUGAAUAUGUAUUCAUCCUUAUGUUAAAGCUUCCCUAAUUUUGUUGUUGGGGAGACACUGCUUUAGGAAAGUU